rfam:Nitrospinae bacterium RIFCSPLOWO2_01_FTLL_39_10 rifcsplowo2_01_scaffold_26829, whole genome shotgun sequence.
AAACUCUUUAAAAUAGUCCAGUGAGACUAUAAAGGGAAGAAAUGAACUAUAAUCAAAAAAAUAGAACGUUUAGAAGCCUCCUCGCCAUUUAAUGGCAGGAGGUUUUUUUUU